AUUCUCUUGACCAUGAUGUGGGUUCCUUUGGUUUUCUUCCUGGGGACGUUUGUCUCAGGUUCCAGCUCCCAACUUGUGGUGACUCAACCACCCUCCAUGGCAAAAGCUCCAGGCUCAACGGUCACGAUCCCUUGCGCUCUCAGCAGCGGAUACAGCAUCAGCGGAAAGCGGGGCCAGUGGUUCCAGCAGAAAUCAGGGGGUGCUCCACUGUUUCUCUACCACUAUCACACCAGCAGUGACCAAGGCAGGGGCUCAGGGAUCCCCGAUAGAUUCAGUGUCUCCCCGGACACUUCCAACACCCUCUGGAAUUUGGUCAUCACAGGACUCCAAGCUGAAGACGAUGCGGACUAUUACUGCCUUGCAUGGGAUGAGAAGCUUAGCUCGUAUCACUGUGAUUCGUUCCCACGGGGAACUGAGACAAAAAAACCCUGA